AUAAAAGUUUUCAAACUAAAUGCUUUAAGAAAAGGGAGAAGAGCAAAAAGUCUUCCCUCAUUCUAAAGAGAAAGCAUUAAGCCUUUUCUAAUUUGUAUUUGGUCCUACAACAGGCAGGUCUAAAGGUCUGGUCUUGAACUCACUAACGAUGGAAUUCUUGUAGCACAUGACGCACUUGAGCAAACUGUGUGCACCGGAAAGAGGAUGUGUGGGGAAGAAAAGAGCAUAAGAGAGAAAGGUGCUAUCAAGAGCCUUGGGUGGGGGCAAGGCAGGAUUGAUGAAAUGACUGGUUUGUGCUACAAGUUCAGGCCCAGGCAGGGCUAAGCUCUGACUGAUUCCUGAGUCCAUAAAGGCAGAGGAGAUUAAGAUCAGGUGGUCCAGAAGCCUAGGUAGGUGAAGAAAACAGAUUCCUGCUACAGAUCUGGGGUUGACAUGAGCCAGGAGUCUUCUGGGCAUUGUGUGUGUUCUUAGGAGAAAACUGUAGGAGCAAAGCUGCCAUGGGCACAAUUCCUGAGGGUAGAACCCUGUCCUGGGAUGAGUGUGGCCAUUCGAAUACCCAGUGGGCGUGCUCAGGAGUGGGUUAGCACCAGGUGGCGGCCGGCAGCAGGGUGCGGGGAAGGGAUGUUUCUCAGAACUCCUUUCCUCCAAGUUCUCAGUCCCCUCUCUCCCCGCAAGGAGACCUGGAGGAACAGGACAGUGCCCAGCAGGACCGCGCAUGUGCAGAACCCAGUCGCGCCUCUGGCAGACACCAGCGACUCCCUUCAGCCCAGGCUCAGCCAUGUCUCCAUGUGAUUCUUCUGACAGAAAGCCUGCGGAGUUUCCUCAACACCGGUCAAUGCUCCAGCCCCAACGGGCUGUCCAGCAACUCACUAACGACCUCACCCAGAGUCAGCGCAGACCCCACAAGCUCAGCGCUCUUCCCUCAACUGCCCCACUGCAGACGCCAGUCCCUGUGUCUGGACACCCGUUUUCAUUUCUGAAGGCCUGCAAACCAGGGGUACCCACAGCUUCCUCAAGUUCCAUAAUGUGGCAGAACUACUCACAGAACCCAGCGAAGCGCUGUGCAAAGGACACCAGCGUAUUCUAAAAGAUGCCGCUCAGGAACGGCCACGCGGAGGAGGCGCUCAGGGCAAGGGGACUGGUGGGAAAGUUGGGGCGGGCGGGUGAAUGGCUUCCCUUCCUCACACACCUCACAAAAGCCUUUCCUUCAAGACCCGCUGGCAGCCCCCAAACCAAGAGCCACGGGGGCGCUGUCCCAUUAAUGAGUCCCCAUUUGCUCACAUGAACUCUGUGUUUUGAGGGGGCCUCCAUCUCAUUUGGAACAGGGUAAAGUAAGGACGGGACCCCGGACCACAGCUCCUCCCACGCGGUGCCCGCACACGGGGCGCCGGCGUCUUCCGGGUGAGCUCCUCACCCCACAGCCCGGGGAAGGCGCGGGGCUGCGGGCGCAGAGCUGAAGGAGGAGGGCUGCAGGCUGGGCAGAGCCACCGUGCGGGGACCGACAGGAGUGGGGUCCCUCACCGGAGGGGACUGAGGACGGAGGGCUGAGCGGCGGCAGCAGGGACUCAGUACACUCCGUCCUGCCGCCGCCAUUUCCCGCCGGUGCCGAUGAAGCCCCCCCCCUUCAGCCUCGGGAUGCCCUGCCCCGCACACUCACCAUUUCAGGGCUUCAAGGGUGUUGUGAAGUCUUAGCUAGAAUCACCCAAUACCCGCUGGUCACAGAGCAAGAGAGGCUGAGGCUGUGGCGGAAUCACCGAAGCCUCCCUGAGGGGUGGAAGCAGGACAGUGAGCCCCUAACCCAGCUCUGGCUGAAGGGAAAGGUAAAAGCCGCGCCAGAUCCCGGAUGCCGCCCCCUCCUUUGCCUGAUUGGGCAGUUCCCAGUCCAGCGCCCUCAUUGGAUACUGCUACUAGCUCUACGCCCUCAAGCUUUGAGUGACAGAAUUCGAGUGCCAGAAAUUCGACCAUACACUUAACGAGGCAAGAGUGACAGACUCGUGUCUCCAGCACAUACUACUUCAAACCAGCCACAUUCCAGGUACCCAGUAGCUACAUAUGGCAGGUGGCUGCCACAUUGAGUGCAGCCAUGAAGGCUCUGACUUCAGGGAAGUGACGGCCUGAACACCUCUUUUCUGCUGGAAGUAAGGCUUAUAAAACUGUCCCACAUCUACUAAGCAGCUGGCUUGGACUCAGGAUCAUCGUUGGCCUGUCUCUGAAGCCCAUGCACCUCCAUAGACCACACCACUCAGCCAGGUUUCCUGGUCCUUCAAGGGGUGGAAGAGUGACACUUCUGAAGUAGAAGCAAGAUUUUUUUUUUGAGAAUCUCAUCCCAUCUAUCCAGUACUCUUCACCAUUAGAAAUAAUUCACUCCAGGGAAUGCUUCUGAAGUCUCUUGGAAAAACUGGAAAUGAUUUGAGGGAAUGGCUAAGCAUUGGUUUAGGAAAUUAACGCCCACCAUUACAUUUGUAAUUUCUUAUAGGAUAAAUACGAAAACACCUAUAAUGCACUCCACAUAUCUGGAAACCUUUGUAUCCUUAUUCUGUAUUGGUAGGAUACUUAUGAUUUUUAAUAUAGACUAAAUCAACUUA